rnacentral:rRNA from 1 species
GAUGAACGCUAGCGGCAGGCCUAAUACAUGCAAGGCGCGGGGGCAGCAAUGUCACCGCCGUACGGGUGCGUAACGCGUAUGCAACCUACCUAUCAGCGGGGCAUAGCCUUGGGAAACUGAGAUUAAUACCGCAUAAAGCAGGGACUGGGCAUCCAGAUAUUGCUAAAGACUUCGGUCACUGAUAGAUGGGCAUGCGUAGGAUUAGUUAGAUGGUGAGGUAACGGCUCACCAUGACGAUGAUCCUUAGGGGGCGUCAGAGCGUGGUCCCCCACACUGGCACUGAGAUACGGGCCAGACUCCUACGGGAGGCAGCAGUAGGGAAUAUUGGGCAAUGGAUGCAAGUCUGACCCAGCCAUGCCGCGUGCAGGAAGAAGGCCCUCUGGGUUGUAAACUGCUUUUGUUAAGGAAGAAGAGACCUCUUGCGAGGGGUUGUGACGGUACUUGAUGAAUAAGCACCGGCUAACUACGUG